AGAGUUUGAUCAUGGCUCAGGACGAACGCUGGCGGCGUGCUUAACACAUGCAAGUCGAGCGGAAAGGCCCUUUCGGGGGUACUCGAGCGGCGAACGGGUGAGUAACACGUGAGUAAUCUGCCCUUGGCUUUGGGAUAACUAUCGGAAACGGUGGCUAAUACCGGAUACGACCAAUCACUGCAUGGUGUGUUGGUGGAAAGUUUUUUCGGCUGGGGAUGUGCUCGCGGCCUAUCAGCUUGUUGGUGGGGUAAUGGCCUACCAAGGCUUCGACGGGUAGCCGGCCUGAGAGGGUGACCGGCCACACUGGGACUGAGACACGGCCCAGACUCCUACGGGAGGCAGCAGUGGGGAAUAUUGGACAAUGGGCGGAAGCCUGAUCCAGCAACGCCGCGUGAGGGAUGACGGCCUUCGGGUUGUAAACCUCUUUCAGUACCGACGAAGCGCCGAUGAUGGUGGUGACGGUAGGUACAGAAGAAGCACCGGCCAACUACGUGCCAGCAGCCGCGGUAAUUC
rnacentral:rRNA from 1 species